GUAUCAUGACUGUCAGCUUAACGAAGAAGGCUGACCACCUGCCUCAACGUUGCCUUCAAGAAACGUGGGUUCUGCGAACAUUAUGACUCACUCCUUUGCAUACAGCAUAUUCACGUGAUUGGCAGUAACACGGUUAUGUUCAAGCUGUUCUAGACCACACUUUGCAUGAAUCUUAGUCAAAGAGCAACACACUUUGCCAGGUUGUGGCGUUCAAGGAUCCCGCUAUAACAUCUGACGUUUCGUACUUCCGCACGCCACCUUGAACGCAGCGUGAUUCUGCGAUGGCGGCUGCUCCACCUGGUCGGGCUGCUGGCUCCAGCGGGCAGCUCUUUCCCUGGGUUUUUCCACAAGGAAAAGUUACCUUGGAAAGCGAGAGUUCCAGAGUCUAAAGACCUGUGGCACCUCGUCUACUAAAGCCUGGAGGCCUUUUAGUUAUGCAUUCUUGUUAAACCGUCAUUCAGAGACAACCCCAAGCUGAAGAGUUUGAACUCUAAACAUGUCCAAGGAUACGGACCAUGAAGAGUUCUUCGGACUACUACAAAUUGUCUAUCCGAAGAUGCAGAAGCUGACCGGAGGAUGGCUUAUGUACAAGGCUACAGGUGGAGAAAGCUUGCAUGGAUUCCGAGAUGGCAGCAGAGGAUUUUGAGGAGCAGAAGACCAUGGGAUGGCUGAGUCAACUGCCUGGACAAUGGAGAAGAGCAGAUCAAAAGGAGCAGAAGACCAUGGGAUGGCUGAGUCAACUGCCAUGAGCCUGGACAAUGGAGAAGAGCAGAUCAAAAGGUGCACGAUACUUUUCUGUGAGCCGCUCGUCUGAUGGUGAGGUCCAACACAACAGGCAGUCGGGUACACAACGAAGGUCGACGAUGGAGCUGAGGAUGAAAGUCAGAAGUUCUCCAGUCCUGUCUAGGCUGAAAUUUAGGAUGUUUCCGCUCCGGUCACUUUCUCUCUCGAACUCCACUACAACUCUACACCCCCUACGAUCUGUUCCAGGAUGACUCUCUCUGCCACCGCCUGCGACCCUCCUGCCGGGGGCAGCCCCAGGACCGCUGUCUCGAAGGUCUCCAAAAAAUCACUGCACGUCGUCAUUUUAUGGAGCGCCACCCCCGUCCAGGGGGAAGGGUUUGGCGGAGCAGGGUGGAAAUUAUCAUCGCUCUGUAGAUUUUCCCUUUUACUCCUGCGGACACACCGGCAAGAACAUGUCAAGACAGGUGUGAACCAUUAGUCCCUGCAGUGGCUGGCCGAAAGUUGCCGGGAGUUCCAUUCAUCAACGCCCUCUGUGCUGCCACGGUUUAGGGUUUGCUCCCUUAGCCUUUGAUUCUAUCAAGAAUCUGUACCGCAAGACAGUGGUUUUCAACUAUGCAUGGCAGGGGCGUCAAACCCUGAGGUAAAAUGUCAUACCCGCAUACCAUAAACAUUUAUAUUAUUAUGAUCAUUAACAGAGCCACCCCCGUCCAAG